UCGGACUGUAGUCUGCAAUCGACUACACGAAGCCGGAAUCGCUGUAAUCGCGAAUCAGAAUGUCGCGGUGAAUACGUUCCCGGGUCUUGUACACACCGCCCGUCACACCAUGGGAGUCGGAAAUGCCCGAAGUCAGUGACCUAACCUUUAAGGGAGGAGCUACCGAAGGUGGAGCCGGUAACUGGGGUGAAGUCGUAACAAGGUAAC
rnacentral:rRNA from 1 species